GACAAACGCUGGCGGCAUGCCUAACACAUGCAAGUCGAACGGACAGAACAGGGAAGCUUUUCGGAGUGGAACUGGAAAGUUAGUGGCGGAUGGGUGAGUAACGCGUGGACAACCUACCUUGUAAAGGGGAAUAACCUCGAGAAAUCGAAGCUAAUACCCCAUAAUAACCUUGCUUCGCAUGAAGUAAGGAGGAAAGGCGGCCUUAGCGCUGUCGAUACAAGAUGGGUCCGCGUCUGAUUAGCUAGUUGGUGAGGUAAAGGCUCACCAAGGCGACGAUCAGUAGCCGGCCUGAGAGGGUGAACGGCCACAUUGGGACUGAGACACGGCCCAAACUCCUACGGGAGGCAGCAGUGGGGAAUCUUCCGCAAUGGGCGAAAGCCUGACGGAGCAAUGCCGCGUGAGUGAAGAAGGCCUUCGGGUUGUAAAACUCUGUCCUUAUCGAAGAGAGAGUGUUGUAGUAACUGACAAUACUAGGACGGUAGAUGAGGAGGAAGCCCCAGCUAACUAUGUG
rnacentral:rRNA from 1 species